GAUGAACGCUAGCGGCAGGCUUAAUACAUGCAAGUCGUGGGGCAGCAUGAGUAGCAAUACUUGAUGGCGACCGGCAAACGGGUGAGGAACACGUACACAACCUUCCUUCAAGCGGGGAAUAGCCCAGAGAAAUUUGGAUUAAUACCCCAUAAUAUAUUUGAUAAGGCAUCUUAUUAAUAUUAAAGCUUCGGCACUUGAUGAUGGGUGUGCGGCUGAUUAGAUAGUUGGCGGGUAACGGCCCACCAAGUCUACGAUCAGUAGCUGAUGUGAGAGCAUGAUCAGCCACACGGGCACUGAGACACGGGCCCGACUCCUACGGGAGGCAGCAGUAAGGAUAUUGGACAAUGGACGAAAGUCUGAUCCAGCCAUGCCGCGUGAAGGAUUAAGGUCCUCUGGAUUGUAAACUUCUUUAUAUGGGACGUAAAAAGGGCAAUUCUUAGUUCGCUUGACGGUACCAUAUGAAUAAGCACCGGCUAACUCCGUGCCAGC
rnacentral:rRNA from 1 species